GGAAGGAUCAUUAGUGGAUGGAUAUAAAUCUUGAAGCACCUGUGAACUGUGGGGGCGUGCCCUCGUUUUACAAACGAUGAAUGUAACCAACAAGUCUUGUAAUAAUAAAAUAAAACUUUCAACAACGGAUCUCUUGGCUCUCGCAUCGAUGAAGAACGCAGCGAAAUGCGACAAGUAAUGUGAAUUGCAGAAUUCAGUGAAUCAUCGAAUCUUUGAACGCACCUUGCGCUCUUUGGUACUCCGAAGAGCAUGCCUGUUUGAGUGUCACGAAAUGUCAACCCGAGUCUUGGGCUGGAUGUGGGUGCUUGCCGCUGCGAGUCGUCGGCUCACCUGAAAUAUAUUAGCUGGCGCGGUCUUUCGGGGACUGGGACUGGAUUGGCGUGAUAAGUUAUUUCGCCAAGGGUCUUGGUUUCCUUUUGACAAGCGUGGGCUUUCUAAUGCGAGUUGUAUUGAAGACCUGGCCUCAAAUCAGGUAGGACUACCCGCCGAACUUAAGCAUAUCAAUAAGCGGAGGAAAAGAAACUAACAAGGAUUCCCCUAGUAACGGCGAGUGAAGCGGGAAGAGCUCAAAAUUGAAAUCUGGUGGCCCGAGGCUAUCCGAGUUGUAAUCUAGAGAAACGUUUUCGGCGUUGGGCGCGUGUACAAGUCCCUUGGAAUAGGGCGUCAUAGAGGGUGAGAAUCCCGUGCUUGACAUGUCGGCGGCAAUGCUGUGUGAUACGUUUUCGACGAGUCGAGUUGUUUGGGAAUGCAGCUCAAAAGGGGUGGUAAAUUCCAUCUAAAGCUAAAUAUUGGCGAGAGACCGAUAGCGAACAAGUACCGUGAGGGAAAGAUGAAAAGCACUUUGGAAAGAGAGUUAAACAGUAUGUGAAAUUGUUGAAAGGGAAACGAUUAAAGUCAGUCGUGUCUAUUGGAAUCAGCCGGUUCUGCCGGUGCACUUGCAUUAGACGGGGUCAACAUGGGUUUCGGUUGCUGGAAAAGGGCAGGAGGAAUGUAGUACUUAUGGGUAAACUUAUAGCCUCUGGUCGGAUGCAGUGGCUGGGACCGAGGAACGCAGCAUGCCAUUUUGGCCGGGGUUCGCGCCCACGCACAUGCUUAGGAUGUUGACAUAAUGGCUUUAAACGACCCGUCUUGAAACACGGACCAAGGAGUCUAACAUGUGUGCGAGUAUUUGGGUGUGAAACCCGAGUGCGGAAUGAAAGUGAACGGGGGCGAGGGAUCCGCAAGGAGCACCUUGGACCGAUCUGGAGCGUUCGCGCGAUGGAUUUGAGUAAGAGCAUAUAUGUUGGGACCCGAAAGAUAGUGAACUAUGCCUGAAUAGGGUGAAGCCAGAGGAAACUCUGGUGGAGGCUCGUCGCGAUUCUGACGUGCAAAUCGAUCGUCAAAUUUGGGUAUAGGGGCGAAAGACUAAUCGAACUACCUAGUAGCUGGUUCCUGC
rnacentral:misc_RNA from 1 species